GGUGGCUCAGUGGUACAGUGCUUGCCUUGCAUGCAUGAGACCCUGGGUUCAAUUCCUCAGCACCA
rfam:Dipodomys ordii contig_87066, whole genome shotgun sequence.